CGGACUCUCAACCAAUGCGCCACCAGGGAAGCCCAGCCCUCCCUUUUUUUAAUGCAAAGAUGUAUAUACUAUAUACUGUCUUGAAUCUUGCUUUCCUUACCUAAUAAAGCUUAGAGACAGUUUCUCACUGUUCUUUACAACAGCAGAGUACAGUAUUCCAUUUUAUAUGGAGUGGGCCAGUGUCUUUUAUCAGCCCCCUACUGAUGGAGGGUCUAGGUUGUUUUCAGUAUCUGGUUUUUACAAACAAUGUUGCAAAGGAUAACUUGUACAUAAAUAAUGUCCCAGGAGUUCCAGUUUAUUUGUAGGAUUAUUGUUGGGCAGCAGCCCAGCUGGGACAGAGGGUUUCUGCAUUUGUAAUAUGGACAGAUAUUACCAAAGGAAAGACCAGGUUCCAAAUAAGGCACAGCUCAAACUCCAAAGCCCUCGGGCUGCGGGUCGGGUGGAGCGAAGGCCUGGCGAGGCACCAUGUCCAGGGGCGUGGUCCAUGGCAGUGGAUGGGGCCUAUGGCAUUGGGCGGGGUCUGGAGGGCAGAAAGAAUAGCCCCUCCCCCUCGCCCCACCAACACUGGCUCUUCUAGUCCAGCCACCUUCUCACCUCACCCCCACCUGCCCCCUCUAAAUCUUCCCGUGAUGACUUAACCGUCAUGGCAGCGCAUGGCCUUAAAUGCGAUGAAAUAGCACACAGCUGCAACAGGUAAGGAGGCCAGCGGGGGAAGAGCACCAAGCUGUAUUAAAACGGGGCAAAACGGGAAAGCAUGCCGCGAAAGGAGGCCCGCAUCACCCCCGACCAUUCCCCAGGGAUGACCAUGUGCAGUGGGGCAAGGUUUCAUUUACCGGACUUUUCCCUGACCAGCUGAACCAUUAAACUAGGACACCGAGAUGCCUGCCACCGUACCCUGGGCAUUUCCUAAUCAGGAGGGUAUUCGUGGCAGCCCCGCCCUGUGCAGAAGGUUUCACGUGCAUUAUUCCAAUGAAGCCUCCCAGCCACCCAUGAGGUCAGUUCUAUUAUUACCUUCAUCCUCCCUCCGGAAGGGGACACAGGUGAGGUAACUGCCAAGCCACAAGCUCCAAAGAACGUCUGUUUGGAUCAUCAGAGCCACAACUCAUAAGCAGGACAUUUGAAGGCAGUGGGUAAUGAGGCUAAAAAUAUUUAUUUGGAACAGAUUCUAAGGGCAGGCCAAAUUCCUGUUCAAACCCCACCUCCUGUUACAAUAGCUUUGGGUUCAGGGAAGGACUGGUGAGUAAGGGUUCCAUCCCGGCUCUUCUUUUAUGAUACACAUGGAUUUAUUAUGCAAUAAGGUUAACACAUGCUUAUGGCAGAAAAUUUGGAACAUCCGGGGAGAAAAUGAAAUGAAUCCAUACACCCAUCACCCAGGGGAAGCCUCUAUUAACAUCAUGGUACAGUGGCUGCCACCCUCCGUUCUCGGCAUGUGUGUAUAUGUUCAUGUGUUAACUGAAACAGAACACAUGUGCAGAAAAAUGCACGGAUCAUACAUGUAUAGCUCAAUUUUCAGAGUGAAAACUCCUGCAACACAAGCAUCCACGUCAAGAAACAGAACAUGAGUGACCACGUGUGUGUUUUCGAAACAAAAUCAGGAUCCUUUGACGUUGUGGGAUGACUGUGUCCUUCCCCAAAAGGUAUGUCUGCGUCCUAAGCCUGGGGACCUGUGAAUGUGGCCAUAUUUGGAAAUACGGUCUUUGCUGAUAUAAUCAGGUCAGGAUGAGGUCCCUGUGGAUUAGGAUAGGCCCUGAUCCAAUCACUGGGAUCCGUAUAAGAAGAGACACAGACAGAGGGAAGAAGACCCAUGAUGUGAUGAAGGAGGGGUGCAGCCACAAACCGAGGAACACCACGGAUUGCCAGCGAACACCAGAAGCUAGAAGAGGCAAGGAAGGGUCCUUUCCUACAGCCCUUCAGAGAGAGUGUGGUCCUGCCAGCAUCUUAAUUCAGACUUCUAGCCUCCAGAGCUCCGAGCAAAACAAUUUCUGGGUUUCUUUGUUUUUAUUUUUUUUUUUAACACUGAACAGUAUUUCUUCCAAUUUCUGUUGUUUUAAGCCACCUGUUUGUGACAGCAUGUCACAGCAGCCCAAGGAAAUGAAUACAUAUGAUGUAUAUGCAGUUCAGGAUUUUUUAUGGUUAUGGGAGUCAUAUGAGUUCACCUUUCACCUCCAGCUCCUGGACGGAUCUAAGAAUGUCACCUCCUGCAGCCUGGUGACCAUGGCAGACACAUCAGAUGGCGUCACCACCUAAAGCACUUCAGUGGCUCCCCCAUGUCCCUGUGGUCUGGCGCCUGUACCCUCCCACCUCAUCUCACACCUCGCUCCCUGUUCGGCCACUCAGGCCACAUUUUGGCCCUUCUCCUCUCUGUCUCUGUGGCCACAGGGCCUUAGUACAUGCUGUGCCAUCUGCCAAAGAUGCCUCUACUCUCCCCUCGACACGCGCGCGUCAUCAUCCUUCAGAUCUAAACUAUUCCCUGCCUCCUACACCAUGUACCUGGUAACACCAGUGAUCUCAGGACCUCUUCGUAGGGUGUUUGGGAGAGAGGCUUCCAGGGAACUGCCCCCGAGUCUGUCACUCCCAAGGUCUUGGCUCUGUGUCCCCACCUCCCAGAGAGGAGACAUCCCCACUGGUCAGUGGUCCCCAGGGCUCCUUCUUCCGCAUCUCGCCUCUCCUCACCACCCAUGGCCACCUCUCGGCAUCGCAGUGGUGCUUCCCACCCUCUACUCUCCAUACCCAGCUGAGGGCUCUAUAACACGCACCCAGCUCCCUUCCUGAAAACCCUUUCAUUGCCCCCCACUGGCAUCAGGGUCAAUUUCUAGCUCCUACUUCGUGAGCCUCUUGACAAGGCCAUUUUGAUCCAGCCUCCAAUGAGCACUUACUGCACCAGCCUCAGUCCCCGGCGCCAAUUCACCUCAGUCCUCCUGUCCCCAACAGGCUGGGAGCCAUCAUGCCUCAGUGCCUUCUCCCUUUGUCCCUUCUGUUCCCUUUGCCUGGGCCCCUUCUCCUUUGGGCUUCACCUGGCUAAAUGCUCACUGCAUCCUUCUCAACUCCCACCAAGGUACCACCUCCUCCAGGAAGCCUUCCCUAUGCCCCCGACUGUGUUUUCCCUGAGGCAAGAAUGGUGUUUUGAUUGAAUUGAGGACCCCCAAAGUGGGUACGCAACGAGCAUUUAUCAGAGAAAUUAUGUCCCAAAGACAAGGCCCGUGAUAACAGAGUCAGGUUUCCAUGACGCACCCAAAUUAUAGUGACUUUACCAGGAUGCCCCCAGGGUCAAAACUUCAUCCACGCUGCCCAAGUCAGGCUUCACCCCAUGUACCCAGGGAUCGGGGCUUGGAGGUACCGCUCUGGCCCUUACCAGCCACAGACGGUGCUCUGUUCAGAGCCCCCAGGCCCAUCUUCAGAGCACCUCUGAAGCCCACCUGUCUUACUCUAAACCCACCUCCCAUCUCAAAGUGGGGGAGCACAGUUCUGCCCCCUGAGAUCUAGGCCCACAACACCCCAAAGCCUCAGGAGGUCCCUUCUGACCCUGCUUCUGAGGUUUACCUUCCCCAUGCUGUAUGCUCGGCCCAGGAUGGAUUUAUCACCAGGUUGGGGGACAGGGAACUCACUCCCUUACAGGAAGCUCACCCCUCCCAGAAGGAAUGGUUGGGCCCUCUAGCUGAAAUAAAGCCACCCCAGUGGGCCCCAACCCUGCAACGUCAUGACACCAGGGGUCACCAAGAGCACCUGCAGGAGGCAGCGCUGGCCCUUCUCUCUUGACCUUGACCAACUCAGUCCUGCCUCUCUCCACGCUUUUCUCCAUCAUGAAACAGGAUACCAGGGCGUCCACAUUCCCCUAAACGUGCAGUCCUGCUGAGCCCCAGCCCCCGUCCCCCCGUAGGCUGGCACCUGGGCGCAGUGUUGGCCAAUCCUCCCGUUUACAGGACAAGCCAGAUGUUCACAUUUCUGUGUGAAAUGGCCCUACUUUAAAACAGGACUCAAAUUUUCCAAAUCUCUGAGUGGCCAGAUAGGAGCCCAGGUCAUGGACCUCUGGGCUCAGGACGCCAGCAGGGAUCCACAGGGAGGUUCGUGAUAGCUCUGGCUUUCCCAAGCACUACUGCUGGGGACUUGCUUUAAGUCACAUAACUAAAACGGCUGCUGUGAGGCUCUGGGACCAGCUGGGAUGGGCUAUCGAUAUGCUGGAUGGGCAGCUGAGCCUUUAGGGUUUUGUCUGGAAACACAAAGGCCUGGGGCAGGGAGACAAAGCUGAAAGCAUUAUCAGCAGUGACUCAGCGAGCCCGCGUUAACAUCCCUAGAAAGGCAGCCAGGGUGGGGUUCUCAGCAGGGUGGCAGGAAGCCCACAUCCUUGGGGUGUGUGCAGCUGUCUGGGAUCUGGGAUCUGGGGUGAUUUCCUCACCCUCGUCUGAGGAGGUGACGCUCUCAAGAGCAGAUUGUCAGGGACGGUUUCCCAAGCUGGGAGCCGAGGGCCACCUCCCUCCUAACAAGACCAGGCAGCCCAGGACGGGGAGGGAGGGACUCCAGGGGCAAGUCUGCGCCCGUCUUGGGCAGGGUUCCGGCAGGGAGUGAAGCAAACCUCAGCUCACGUCUGCUCAUCACCUGCCCUGCCCCGCCCCAGAGAAGGCUCUGCCCAGCAGGGCCUGGCAUGUCGUCAGCACUCAAUAAAUACUUGUUGAAUGUAUGGCUGGCUGGCUGGCUGGAUGAAUAGACGGUUGGACAGAUAGACAGACGGAUGCAUGGAUGGAUGAACAGAUAGAUGCACAGAUGCAUGGAUGAAUAGAUGCAUAGAUGGAUAAACAGACAAGACGGAUAGAUGGAUGAAUAGAUGACUAAUGGACGAACAGAGAGACGGAUGCAGGGGUGGCUGAAUGGAUGAACAGACAGAUGGAGUCAUAAAUCUUUAAGGAUAGAGAAAGACACUUCGCAGGCCCAAGGUGCCGACUGGGCAUGAUAGAAGCAGCCCGUCUUACAGUAAACCUCAGCCUCCAGCAGGGAAAGCGCUGUGGACGGUGAUGUGGGCAAUUCACACAGCUGGGACUCAUGGAGAAGUGGGCGGGCGUGUGACUGCACUUACAUACCUCCAGGCCUUGGCCUGUGAUGUUCCUUCUGCCUACAACACCCUUCUCCACUUCUUUGCCUGUCCAUCUCCCACUCAAUCUUUUAUGACUCAUCUUGGACUUCUGUGUCCCAAGGAAGUCACCUGAGAGGUCCUCCUCUCCCUAACCUGGCCUGCCAGGUUCCCCCCACAGACCACCCUGUGUCAUGAUGGUCUGUUCACUCCUGACCCCCCAGUGGGCUGUGGGCCCCUGGCGGGCAGAGACCAUGCCCAGCUCCCGUCUCCAUCCCCAGCGCUGAGCCUGGCACUCAAAGUACUCAGGAAAUGCCAGUGAACUCAAAGCCAGCACACAGAGGGGGGAUUCUGUUCCCCACUCCCCCAGUGUACAGAAAAUGUGAUCUGAUGAGAAAGAUACUUGCCCAACUCAAUUUUAAAAAAUGAAAUUGGAGUCACAAAAGCAAAGCAGGCUCAGAAGGAAAAACACAGAGCCCUAGACUUGUGGUUUGAUAGAACAGAAAAGCUCCAUAUUUAUGUCGUGUAUCAUGGUCCACAAAGAGCCGUCACGAGUCAGCUCAAUCCUGUCGUGGUAGCCAUGUUUGCUAAGUGGAAACAGAGGCCCGGAGCUAAAGUGGCUUGUCCAGGGUUACAGUUAGGAACCUGCUGGGGGCUAGGCCAGCCCAGGAGGGGAAAGGCUGACUUCCCCACAUGGAGGCGAUAAGGAGGCUCAGAGACUCUAAGUCACCUACCUGGGCUCACACAGCUAGGAAGGUAAGAAGUGGCCAGCUGGGGAGAAGGGCAGGCCGGGAACCCUGGGCCGGGCAGAGACUUCAUCCCUAGGGCCCCUGCACUGCCACCUGGACCACCAUGGACCCCCAGCUGGGAAGACGGGCCCCCCACCCCCCAUGUGGAGUCUAGAUCUCUCAGAGCCCCAGCCCCGCCCAUCCUGGGCUCAAAAGAUAAGACUCCUUCAGCAGAAUUGGUGACAGGCUGUCCUAACUGGCUUAGCCAGGAGAUGCCCAAGUUUGGGUCAGAGGGCACUGUUCUGACUCCCAGCUCUGCCACUUGUGAACUGUGGGAGCUUCUGCAUGCGUCUCUCUAAAUCGGUGGUGAUGAAGCCUGCCGACAGGGUGGUCAUGCCCAUCACACGAAAUCGCGUAUUCAAGCACCGGCCACAGUGCCUGGGAAACCGUAAGUGUUGCCGUCCUCGCCACCAACAGCAUCUUCAUGACACCAAAGCACAGCAAAGAGGCUCAGAGUUCGCUGCAGGGGAGGAUGAAUUGCAAAGAACAGGUCUUCUGUGCUUUACCCUUCUCAGGCUGAUAGGGGAAGGCUGGAGGUCCCAGCGCGCAGAUGGGGCUGGGGGGGAGUCCCCUCCUGCAGGAACCUACAUGGCAGGGAAGGCAGGGCCACCCACUGGGGCCAAGGAGACCCAGUUAGCAACAGAUCAACAGCCCCAUCUGUGAUGGAGAGAGGAAGGGCCAGUGUGAAGGCCAGGAGGCGGGAGCUGGUUCAGCCUGGCAACGAGAGUGGGCAGUUUCUGUCUCCCCUCCUCUCACCAGGGUCUGUGCUCCCCCGGCCAGGCUCUUCCUCCCCAACUCCCUUGGUCUGCUCACUGCUCGCUCCCCAAGGCAUUCCAAACCGAUUCCUGCCACCCAGCAAGGGAGGGUACCAACCCCGCAGCUUUGGAGCCAGACGGGGCUGGAAUCAAAUUCUGAUGUUCCCACUUGCUAGCUCUGGGCUUUGGCUGUCUCUUCUGGAAAGAGGGGACUAAACGCCCCCUGUGGGAAAGGAACUUAGCACAGCACACAGGCUGCUCAGGGUCCUGGGGCAGCCUCACUGGGGUCCUCCUAAUAGGUGCCUCUCUUCCAAACAAUAAACCUGUACAGCUACUUGGGAAAAGCGCUUGUCCAUUUCUCAAACUAAACAUAAACUCAGACAUUUAUACAAUCCCACUCCUGGCUGGGCAUUUAGCCCAGAGAAACGAAAACUUAUAUCCAUACAAAAACCUGCAGCAGCUUUAUUCAGAAUAGCCCCAAACUGGAAACAGCCCAGACGCCUCUCAAGAGGUGAACGGUUAAGCAGUCUGUGGCAUGGCCACAUUGUGGGUUACUCCCCAGCCAUAAAAGGGAAGGAACCACUGACACACAAAACAACUCAGAUGGAUCUCAGGAGCAUUGUGCUGCGUGGAAAAAAAAAAGCCAACCUCCGAGGGCACAUGCUAGAUUAUUCCAUCUAUAUAACAUUCUCAAAUGACAAAAUUAUAGAGAUGGAGACCAUAUUUGUGGUUGCCAGGGGGUCAGAGGUGGUCAGGGGCAGGGCGGCGGGUGUGACUGUAUGAGGAGAUCUUUGUGAUGAUGGAGUAGUUCUAGUCUUCAUUGUGAUAGUGGUGAAGUGAAUCCACACACAUGACAAAAUGGCACAGAACUAUGCAUGCACACACGCACGCAUGCACACACACGCGCGUGUUCUCUACCAAUGUCAAUUUUGAUAUUGUAGCAUAAUUAUGUGAGGUGUAACCAUUAGAACUGGGUGAAGGGUAUGUAGGACCACGCUGUACUGUCUUAGCAAUUUCCUGCGACUCUAGAAUUAUCCCAGAAGUAAAAGUGUGGUUUUUUUGUUUUUUUUUUUAAUGGCACGCAUGGUAUGAUGUCUACAAUUGGCUCUCAAAUACUCCAGCCAUAAAGGGAAAAAAGCAAGAGAGGGAGCCCGCAAGGAGGUGAUAAAACAAGAUUGCAAAACAUUGCUGAUGAUGACGCCAAGGGGUGGGGAUGAGGGAAUCACUGUCUGGACCUCUUGAUUUCUGUACAUUUUUGAAAUUUUCCAUAAUAAAGCUGUUAAAUUUUAAA